ensembl:lncRNA
GUAGUUUUGACCUGCUGAAACGGAGAAAAUUGCAAUUGGGUGGAGAAAAGGUGAUCCAGUUGAAAUCCAGUUGGACAGCUCUGUGGAUCUCUCAGAUGACUUGGAGGCUACAAAUGCAAGGGCACUGUAAGAGGGAGGAUGAAAGGAACCAUUCACUUGACCCACAUGGCAAUUCCUGUUUGACUUGUGUAAAUUAGGAAUUGCUACAUCAUUGGACUGUUCUUUUAGCAACUGCUUCAAAUUCCUUGUUGCUUUAUUUUACCCUGAAAAUCAUUUCAGCCACCUGUGGAUGAUAAACAGACGAUGAAUAAUUGAGUUAAUCCAAGAAAGCUUUGGGGCUGCAGCUAUCACAGUAGGUAUAAAAACAAAUCCAUGCAAAUUCCUUCCUGUAUCAAGGUAGAUUAUCUAUUUGCUGUUAACCUUCUGAGGCAUUCACUUAGACCUGCGAGAUGAGUUUUCUUCUUGUGAGAAAGAAUCACUUCCAUUCAAUUCUUAGUUUGACACUUGAAGCAGUGUAGCACAGGAAGAGUGUGUUAUGUAAGAACAUGCACCCUAAAAAAUAGGCAUCCCUUCUGAAACUGAUAUACUGAAUAAAAGAGGUGUUUUCUCAAGCAAGUAAAAAUGCAUACUUUGUUGUAAUCCAAGGGUUAUCAUUAAUUUAGGUUAAAGAUAGAUGUCCUGUAUGGCUGUGCCUUCAGUUAAUGAGAAAGAUAUUCUCAUACCAAAGCCACUUUUUUUUUGCUGCUUUCUGUAUGAGUCAUCCAAGGUCAAAAUUAGAGUUAAACUCAAUAUAAACAUUAAACAGAAAUCCGGAAGAGCUGAAACUCUUCUGGUACAAGAAAUGCAUUUGUGACCUUGGCAAUCAUCGUGCUCAAGAUCUUCUCCAUAAGUCACUCAGGAAAAAUCUUGUCCAUUCCCCUGGUGACAGGCAUGCAUUGUUUGUUAAUAAUAGCAAAGAUAACAGAAAGAUGUAGAAAAAUAUUUCAUUCCGCAGAUAUCAGUGAGAUCUCUCUCUCUCUCUUCCCUACAUCUCAGCCCAAAAUAUAUAUGUAAUUUAAGUUGCCCUGAGGUUCGGGACAAAAACACAUUGAAAUACCAACAUUUUCUG